GUUCAUGUCACAUUUAUUGGUUUACAUUGCCAGAACAUUACAUCUGAAAUAUACAUUUUAUAUACACACACUUACAGAUUAGGCUUCAAGAAAUAUUAU